UUCAAAGAUAGCUCAGUCAGGAGAGCACAAGACUCUUAAACUCAGGGUCAUGGGUUCGAAUCCCAUGUGGGCAAAA